UGAGGAAUAUUGGGCAAUGCCCGCAAGGGUGACCCAGCAACGCCGCGUGGAGGAUGAAUGUCGUAAGAUUGUAAACUCCUGUUAGAGGGGAAGAAUAGUACCGGUUGGACCGGUAUAUGACUGUACCCUCAGAGAAAGCCCCGGCUAACUACGUGCCAGCAGCCGCGGUAAUACGUAGGGGGCAAGCGUUGUCCGGAUUUACUGGGUGUAAAGGGCGCGCAGGCGGGAUAAAAAGUCAGUGGUGAAAUCCUACAGCUUAACUGUAGAACUGCCUUUGAUACUUUUAUUCUUGAGUUCGGGAGAGAGAGACGGAAUUCCAGGUGUAGUGGUGAAAUACGUAGAUAUCUGGAAGAACACCAGUUGCGAAGGCGGUCUCUUGAUCCGACACUGACGCUGAGGCGCGAAAGCGUGGGGAG
rnacentral:rRNA from 1 species